CAGUAGCCGCGGGAAUACGAAGGGUGCAAGCGUUAAUCGGAAUUACUGGGCGUAAAGCGCGCGUAGGUGGUUUGGUAAGAUGGAUGUGAAAUCCCCGGGCUCAACCUGGGAACUGCAUCCAUAACUGCCUGACUAGAGUACGGUAGAGGGUGGUGGAAUUUCCUGUGUAGCGGUGAAAUGCGUAGAUAUAGGAAGGAACACCAGUGGCGAAGGCGACCACCUGGACUGAUACUGACACUGAGGUGCGAAAGCGUGGGGAGCAAACAGGAUUAGAUACCCGUGUAGUCCCUGUCUCUUAUAC
rnacentral:rRNA from 1 species